GACCAGGCUCUGGUUAUUUCAGUGAUCCUCAAUAAGUUAUAACUUAUAGGCUCACUCUUUGCACCUCAAACCGUGAAACCAAGCACCCAUAUUCUCCUGCGAGGGGGACGGCUGCGAGCUGGGGGGUGUGUGUGAGAGAUGGUAUAUGAAGCCUUUAGAACAGAAGGGGCUCUUAGUUAAGGCUCUAAGAUGAGUUGAUAGUUUGUGGGGGUAUUUUUUAACUUCAUACAUGAAAGAGAGGAAGAAACCAUUUUUGUAAUCUGUAACAGAGAAGGCUCUCCAUGUAUACUGCUAUCAUCUGAAAGAUAAGCAUUCUUGCCUUUCUCUUUGCAGGCUGGCUGGAAAGAAAACCAUGCAACCUUUAUGAAUGAAUUGAAAAACCUUCAAGCUGAGGGACUUACGACUCUUGGCCAGUCUCUAAGGACAGCUUUUGAUUUAUUAAACUUAAAUAGAUUAGUAACUGGCAUAGACAACUAUGGGCAGGGAAGAAACCCAUUUUUUCUGGAGCCAGCAAUAAUUAUAACAGUUACUGAUGGGAGUAAAUUAACUACCACAAGUGGGAUACAGGAUGAGCUUCAUUUACCUCUCAAUUCUCCUUUACCUGGAAGUGAAUUGACUAAGGAACCUUUCCGCUGGGAUCAGAGACUAUUUGCUUUAGUUCUGCGUUUGCCUGGCAUCACAACUCCAGAAUCAGAGCAGAUAGCAGGCGUGCCAGUUGAUGACUCAGCAAUUACACCUAUGUGUGAAGUCACAGGAGGUCGCUCAUAUUGUGUGCAUUCUUCAAGAAUGUUGAAUCAGUGUCUUGAGUCUUUGGUUCAAAAAGUGCAAAGUGGAGUAGUAAUAAACUUUGAAAAAUCUGGACCAGAUCCUUCACCAAUUGAAGAUGGACAGAUGGACGUAGCUAGGUCUUUUGGACCCCAACCUUGGCACAGCUGUCACAAACUUAUCUAUGUCAGACCAAACCCUAAAACUGGAGUUCCCAUAGGUCACUGGCCUGUUCCAGAAUCCUUUUGGCCAGAUCAAAAUUCUCCGACACUGCCACCUCGCACAUCUCAUCCUAUAGUGAAGUAUUCCUGCACUGACUGUGAACCAAUGGUCAUUGACAAAUUACCUUUUGAUAAAUAUGAGUUAGAACCUUCACCGCUGACCCAGUUCAUUCUGGAAAGGAAAUCUCCUCAGACCUGCUGGCAGGUGUAUGUGAGCAAUAGUGCAAAAUAUAGUGAACUUGGCCAUCCUUUUGGUUACUUGAAAGCUAGUACAGCACUGAAUUGUGUGAACCUAUUUGUGAUGCCUUACAAUUAUCCAGUCCUCCUUCCUCUCUUAGACGACUUAUUCAAAGUACACAAGGCAAAGCCAACCUUAAAAUGGCGGCAGUCAUUUGAAAGCUAUUUGAAGACAAUGCCUCCUUACUAUCUAGGGCCUUUGAAGAAAGCUGUGAGAAUGAUGGGCGCACCUAACCUUAUAGCAGACAGUGUGGAAUAUGGACUUAGUUACAGUGUAAUUUCAUACCUCAAAAAGUUGAGUCAACAGGCCAAAAUAGAGUCCGAUAGAGUCAUUGGCUCUGUAGGCAAAAAGGUAGCGCAAGAGACUGGAAUUAAGGUCAGAAGCAGAUCACACAACCUGUCUAUGGCACAUAGGAACGAUUUUCAACAACUGCUACAGGGGAUUACUGGGGAAAUUCCUCAUAGACUUCUAGACUUCAAUAUGAAGGAGUAUGCUGGGUUCCAAAUAGCUUUGCUGAAUAAGGAAUUGAAACCUCAAACCUUUAGAAAUGCUUAUGACAUACCCAGAAGGAAUCUUUUGGAUCACUUAACAAGAAUGAGGUCUAAUCUUCUGAAGAGAACUCGCAAGUUUCUCAAAGGACAAGAUGAAGAUCAAGUUCACAGUGUACCAAUAGCACAAAUGGGAAAUUAUCAGGAGUUCCUAAAACAGAUACCAUCCCCCCUUCGAGAGCUAGACCCUGAUCAACCCCGAAGGCUACAUACAUUUGGUAAUCCAUUUAAAUUGGACAAGAAGGGAAUGAUGAUAGAUGAAGCAGAUGAAUUUGUAUCAGGGCCCCAAAAUAAACACAAACGACCUGGAGAGCCUAAUAUGCAAGGGAUUCCUAAAAGACGUCGGUGUAUGUCACCUCUUCUAAGAGGCAGGCCACAGACUCCUCCUGUUGUGAAUAAUCAUAUUGGAGGAAAAGGGCCACCUAUACCUAUUACGCAAGCACAACCAGAUCUUGUGAAACCUAUUCCUAUUCACAAAACUUCAGAAGCCAAUAACGAGAUUGCAGCGGAUGAUGUGAUUGAGAAUCAUGUUGCAGACCCACUUUCAUCAGAUGUUUUUCCAAAUGCUAUGGAUUCUGAAUUUUCAGUGUUGUCUUCUCCAUUCAGUCCAUUGGACCGACCUACAACUCAUUCAGAGGAUUUAGGCCAUGAACAUUUAGGAACUAAUAACCUUAAUGUUGAUGAAUUUAUGCAAAAUCAUGAGUCGUGUGGUGAAGAGCAAAGUGCUCAAGAAAACUUGGCAGCAUCUUCGCCAAACAAAGGGAAAAAAGUGAUGCUUUCCAGAAGUGAGAGAGAGGUUAAUAUAGAACUAAAAGCACAAAUUAUGAAGGAGAUUAGAAAGCCAGGAAGAAAAUAUGAAAGAAUCUUCUUUUUGCUGAAGCAUGUACAAGGCAGUUUACAAACACGACUAAUAUUUUUACAAAAUGUUAUUAAAGAAGCCUCAAGAGAAAAGAGUCGGAAGAAAUAAUUGUGCUAUGGCGCUAACUUGCCAGAACUUCUACAGACAACAGUACAUAUACAGUGAACCUUUGAUGUAUGCAGUGGACACUGAAAAGUUUUCAGAGUUUAAAAAACGAAUGCUGAUAGAACAGCUUGAGAGUUUUCUGGAAGAAAUCCACCGCAGAUCCAACCAAGUCAACCAUGUCAACAGCAGCUAAGAGAUGUUUUUCCCAUAGAAAAGCCACAGUAGGGCACUGCUGUAUUUACCUGCAUUCAUUUUUGACAUGCACUCUUGGCUCAAGUCCCUUAUCUGAAAAGACUAAAAGCUGCUCUCUAGUAUGAUGGAAAAAGUGUCCAUAAAUCUUUUUCUUAAUUUCUCUUAUUUUUGUAAUGUGAAAAAUAUCACUAAAACAUUUUAUUUAACAAAAUAAAAAUAGAGAAUUUCUUGCUUGUCAUUGACUUAAGUGUCACUUGCCCUCAGGUUCUAUUUUCUUAACCCAACCUUUAAAAUUAUCAUCUCUGUUAAGGUUGAACUUUGCCAAAAAAAAAAAAAAAAAAAAAAAGUUGCUUUGUAAUUUUCAAAAAAGCACAUACAUUAAACAAGGUAAUGUUUUGUAUAUACAGUUAUUUUGGAUAUAUUAUUGUAAGUUGUACAAAUGUAUUUUGAAAAAUAUUUAAGAAAAGCACUUUUGUUAUUCCACCAAUAAAAAACUUCUAUUUUAA